rnacentral:rRNA from 1 species
UACGAAGGGAGCUAGCGUUGUUCGGAAUCACUGGGCGUAAAGCGCACGUAGGCGGAUGUGUCAGUCAGGGGUGAAAUCCCGGAGCUCAACUUCGGAACUGCCUCUGAUACAGCACGUCUUGAGUCCGAGAGAGGUGGGUGGAAUUCCUAGUGUAGAGGUGAAAAUUCGUAGAUAUUAGGAAGAACACCAGUGGCGAAGGCGGCCCACUGGCUCGGUACUGACGCUGAGGUGCGAAAGCGUGGGGAGCAAACAGGAU